GACGAACGCUGGCGGCGUGCUUAACACAUGCAAGUCGAGCGGUAAGGCCCUUUCGGGGGGUACACGAGCGGCGAACGGGUGAGUAACACGUGGGUGACCUGCCCUCAGCUCUGGGAUAAGCCUGGGAAACCGGGUCUAAUACUGGAUAUGACUCCAUGACGCAUGUUGUGGGGUGGAAAGCCUUGUGCGGCUGAGGAUGGGCCCGCGGCCUAUCAGCUUGUUGGUGGGGUGAUGGCCUACCAAGGCGACGACGGGUAGCCGGCCUGAGAGGGCGACCGGCCACACUGGGACUGAGACACGGCCCAGACUCCUACGGGAGGCAGCAGUGGGGAAUCUUGCGCAAUGGGCGAAAGCCUGACGCAGCGACGCCGCGUGAGGGAUGACGGCCU
rnacentral:rRNA from 1 species